CCUACGGGAGGCAGCAGUAGGGAAUCUUCCACAAUGGGCGAAAGCCUGAUGGAGCAACGCCGCGUGGGUGAAGAAGGUCUUCGGAUCGUAAAACCCUGUUGUGAGAGAAGAAAGUGCGUGAGAGUAACUGUUCACGUGUCGACGGUAUCUAACCAGAAAGCCACGGCUAACUACGUGCCAGCAGCCGCGGUAAUACGUAGGUGGCAAGCGUUAUCCGGAUUUAUUGGGCGUAAAGGGAACGCAGGCGGUCUUUUAAGUCUGAUGUGAAAGCCUUCGGCUUAACCGGAGUAGUGCAUUGGAAACUGGGAGACUUGAGUGCAGAAGAGGAGAGUGUAACUCCAUGUGUAGCGGUGAAAUGCGUAGAUAUAUGGAAGAACACCAGUGGCGAAAGCGGCUCUCUGGUCUGUAACUGACGCUGAGGUUCGAAAGCGUGGGUAGCAAACAGGAUUAGAUACCCCUGUAGUC
rnacentral:rRNA from 1 species